rnacentral:lncRNA from 1 species
GUACUUUUUACCCUUCUGAGGAAUGAUUUCAGAAAUGUUUUGGAAAAAGUCAACCUUUUACAUCUUCACAUGUGAACUUUGUUGCAGAGAUAAAGCUGUCCAUGGAUCGCCUUUGGAGAGGAUUUGCAAAGGCCAAUGUGGUGCUGGUGACUACAGCAUGAAGAGUUCCAGAAUCUCCCUAUGUUCCUGGCUUAAAAGGAACUUGGGAUCCCAGGAGGGUGUUGAAACUGGUGAAGGACAGUCAUGGCAUUUCUAA